GACAGAGGGUGCAAACGUUGCUCGGAAUUACUGGGCGUAAAGCGCGUGUAGGUGGAUUGGUGUGUCAGAUGUGAAAUCCCUGGGCUCAACCCAGGAACUGCACCUGAAACUACCAGUCUUGAGUGGUGGAGAGGGAAGUGGAAUUCCUGGUGUAGAGGUGAAAUUCGUAGAUAUCAGGAGGAACACCAGUGGCGAAGGCGGCUUCCGUGGACACCAACUGACGCUGAGACGCGAAAGCGUGGGGAGCAAAC
rnacentral:rRNA from 1 species